AUUGAACGCUGGCGGCAUGCCUUACACAUGCAAGUCGAACGGCAGCGCGGACUUCGGUCUGGCGGCGCGUGGCGAACGGGUGAGUAAUACAUCGGAACGUACCCUGUUGUGGGGGAUAACUAGUCGAAAGAUUAGCUAAUACCGCAUACGACCUGAGGGUGAAAGUGGGGGACCGGAAACGGCCUCAUGCAGCAGGGGCGGCCGAUGUCUGAUUAGCUAGUUGGUGGGGUAAAGUCCCACCAAGGCGACGAUCAGUAGCUGGUCUGAGAGGACGAUCGGCCACACGGGGACUGAGACACGGCCCAGACUCCUACGGGAGGGAGCAGUGGGGAAUUUUGGACAAUGGGGGCAACCCUGAUCCAGCAAUGCGGCGUGUGUGAAGAAGGCCUUCGGGUUGUAAAGCACUUUUGUCCGGAAAGAAAUCGCGCUGGUUAAUACCUGGCGUGGAUGACGGUACCGGAAGAAUAAGCACCGGCUAACUACGUG
rnacentral:rRNA from 1 species